UUGACCAUAAAGUGUAUAACUUUAUAAAUCAUCUUUAUUUUCCUGGAAAGAAAGCACCUGUCUUAGGUGUUUUUGUGAUGUGUAUGAAGUGUAUUUUGUCCUGAAAUAAACUGUUGUAUUGUUAAUUGGAGUCAACUAGUCUAUACAACUUUACCCACGACCUGUACUGCCGGAUAGUCUGUCUGUCCGUCAAAACUCCUGCUACAAAAUGGCGCCCAACGUGAUAUAGAGACAGUUGAUUCCUGUGUUUUGUGAUCUGUGUUUUGUGAACUCUUGCUUGAUUUGUGUUUUUGUGUUGAAUUCUUGGAUUUUUCUGGAUUUCUGCGAAAGAGCUCUUGUUUCGUAUUGUGUUGACUAUAAAGUGUAUAACUUUAUAAAUCAUCUUUAUUUUCCUGGAAAGAAAGCACCUGUCUUAGGUGUUUUUGUGAUGUGUAUGAAGUGUAUUUUGUCCUGAAAUAAACUGUUGUAUUGUUAAUUGGAGUCAACUAGUCUAUACAACUUUACCCACGACCUGGACUGCCGGA